UGAGAUUCACUCCUCCAACUUAC
rnacentral:miRNA from 1 species